ensembl:lncRNA
AACAGCGGCUCACAUUUGGCUACUCUCAGCCAGCACCCCAAGGCCUUUCCUGCCGGGCACAUUUCCAGCCACUCUGCCCCCAGCCUGGGCCACAGCAGGGGCUUCUUGGGACACAAGGGCAGCACCGAGGCCUUGCUCUCCUUGAACCUCACCCCGCUGGCCUCACACCUCCCAGCCAGCCUUGCUACAUCUGCCUCCAGAGCCGUCCUAAUCUCCAGAAAAUCAACACUCCCACCCACAUUGGUGUCAUCACUAAGUUAUUACUGAGGGUACCCUGCAUGCCCUUGCCCACACCCGCAGGACACACACUGAACAGGACUGGGCCCAGGGCACACAGCUCAUGAGCAGACACCGCUGGAUGCGGCACCAUUCCCCACCACUCUCUGCACGUGGCCAUCCUGACAGUCCUUAACCCAGCAAAGAGCGCCCCUGCCCAAGCCCUGGGCUGACGGCUUUUCCAGGACUGUGCUGUGGGAGAUGGCAUCAAAGGCUUUGCACAAAUCCAUGGAGAUUCCACACCCUGCUUGCCCCUCAGGACUGGGGCGAGCCACCCACAGCCCAAGGGACAUCAGGUUGUGCAGGCACGUCCUGCCUUUUCUAAACCCACGCUCACUGAGGGACACUGAUCCCUCAGCUGUCCUCUCUGGGCCCUGUCAUCCCCCUCACCAUCAUCUGCUCCAGAACCUUGCUGGGCCCUGAGAUCAGCCUGACAGGCCUGCAGCUCCCCACAUCCUCCCUCUGGCCCUUCUUCGACAUGGAUGUCACGCUGCCACCUCCACUCAUCUGGGCCUUCCCCGACUGACCAAGAAUGAUGGCAAAAUAGAUUGAUGAGAGGCUUAGCCAGCUCUUCCAUGGGCUCCCUCAGCCUCCCUGAGAGAUUCUGGGCCAGACCCCCAGACUUGGCAGCGUCCAAGUGGCUGCACAGGUCACUGACGAACUUCCUCCAGGAUUGCAGGGGGUCUGCUCUGCUCCCUGUCCCUGUGUGCCAGCUCAGGGCACUGUUUGUCCUCAGGAUAACCAAUGACUGUUGAAGGCCCAGGCAAAGAAGGCAUUCUGUACCUCAGCCUUUUACUCAUCCCUUGUGAUCACAUUUCCCUCAUCUCACAUUGAUUUCAGAAGGGUGAUUUCCCUUGGUGCUCCUGUGCUCCUAAACUUUUUGAAAAAAAAUGCUUUAUUGUCUUUAAAAGGAGUAGCCAGAUGAAAUUCAAAGAGGUUUUGUCUAUUCUGAUGAUAUUUCUACCUGGGUUCAAGACUGGGACACAUGCUGGGCUGGGUGGGAAUCACACUUUGGCACGACAUGUACAAGAAGACAAGUUCUCUCUUCACAUGGCAGAUAGGAAAAUGCCUCCCUGGAUACCAACAACAACAUAAUCUGGAGAAAGGUGUUAACCCUGAAUGAGCGACCUGUAGUCCCCAACUCUAUAGAGGAACCACGUGGACCCCAGUGCAGAGAAACACGGGGUGACAAAAGACUGACACGACACUGCUGGAGCCAAGCUUCUUGGCCUGUUGUCUGUUUAAUCUCUUCCUCACCUCACCCCAGCCCUGCUCUUCCCCAUGCCUCACCCCCCUCCACUGUUCCCCAGCCCAUCAUAUCUCAAAAAGGGGCUAGGGACAGCCACCCAGCAGGGCUAGAGAUGAGUUUCAGCAGAACAGUGGCUGAAAUCCUGGGGACAAGGGUGGCUGGUGGUAGCAUUCUGUUCGUUUGUGUAGCAGUGUCCCUGUCCUGACAGCUGGGGUGGCAUAAAGUCACCCACUGCUUUCGAGAGCAGGGGACCUGUGUCAAGACACCCGAGAACUCAUCUUGGAGAAGGAAGCAAAAUGCCAGAAGGAAUCCUGCAGGUUACAGUGGCAGAUGACAGGAAUGCAAACAGGUAAGGAAUGCACAUCAGGGGGUGAAGAUGGAGUUUAGUUCCAUUUGCCUCCAAAAGAACUCAGCUGGCACUGAAGGAAAAUGGGGCCUGGUCCCUUAAAACCCCCCAGCAGCCUGUGAGCACAGGCUGAGGCUGUUUCCUCCCUCCCUGCAUGGCCCUACUGGGGAGAUCGCUGCCAGCACGAAACAGCCUGAAUUUCCAAGUGACUCCCACCUCCACAGAGGGGUUAUUUCUGGAAGCAGACACUGCCACCCCUAGGUUUGAUCAAAGAAUCGCAGAACAGCUCAAUUUGGAAGUGACCUAUAUAGAUCACUGAGUCCAACUCCCUUCUCUACACAGUGCCUCCAAAAACUGGACCAUAGGAUGAAGACCACCAUGGGCUCCUAGCAGGUCUCUCUGCUCCUCUCAGGUUUUUCAGGUUGGGA